rnacentral:lncRNA from 1 species
UCAAAGACCGAUUUGAUUUUUGAUCGGUUGUUAAAAGACACUACAACAAAAACAGUCUAUAGUGACACUUUUAAAUGUCGGUACAGGUCAAAAAAAGUGCUGCUGGCUAAAUUAUCGACACUUUUAAAAAAUAUUGCUAUAUGUGGGGUCGCUAGGUAUAUAGUGACAGUUAAAGAGUGUCGCUCUAGCCUAAAAAAAGUGCUGCUAAUUUACCAACACUUAUUUAAAAAUUUAGCAACUGCUGGAACUCUACCUCGUUGGCUGCGGUGGCAGAGGAGGACGAGAGGGAAGGGCUCUUCGUCUAGAAUUUCAGUAGAUUGAGUAAGGGAGGAGGGGAGAUGAUAAUCGAUUUUUUUUUUUUUAUUUGUAAUCAGGCCAAAUGGACUAGGUAGGAUGGGUUGAGUAGAGUAACCUUUUAUUUUUGGUUAGAUUGUGCUUUAUAUUUAGGCAUUAGUAGAUUUUUUUUUUUUAAGUUUUGGCAUAAAUGGGACACUUACACAAAAGUGUCCCAAAACAUGUGU